rnacentral:rRNA from 1 species
UUAGUGGCGAACGGGUGAGGAACACGUGAGAAACCUGCCUUUCAUUCUGGGAUAACACCGGGAAACCGGUGCUAAUACCGGAUACUCCAUCUUGGCGGCAUCGCCGAGCUGGGAAAAAAUUUUGAUGAAAGAUGGUCUCGCGGCCUAUCAGCUAGUUGGAGGGGUAACGGCCCACCAAGGCAACGACGGGUAGCCGGCCUGAGAGGGUGACCGGCCACACUGGAACUGAGAUACGGUCCAGACUCC